rnacentral:rRNA from 1 species
UACAGAGGUCCCAAGCGUUGUUCGGAUUCACUGGGCGUAAAGGGUGCGUAGGUGGUCGGGUAAGUCUGAUGUGAAAUCUCCGAGCUCAACUCGAAAAUGGCAUUGGAUACUAUUCUGCUGGAGGUUUGGAGGGGGGACUGGAAUUCUCGGUGUAGCAGUGAAAUGCGUAGAUAUCGAGAGGAACACCGGUGGCGAAGGCGAGUCCCUGGACAACACCUGACACUGAGGCACGAAAGCUAGGGGAGCAAACAGG